rnacentral:sRNA from 1 species
ACUCAACACUAUAUCUUUAAAAAGGAUGAGUCUAUUGUGUUAAAGCGCGCUGUCUUAGAACAGAUACUUGAUCACAUAGUUAGUUCUAAAAAAUGUCUUUUGGAGUUU